rnacentral:lncRNA from 1 species
UGCUAGAUCUAGUACCUGACUUAACUACACGGUCAUUUUCAUGAUAUUUGACGGAGCUUUUCAUUUUUUAAAAAUGGAUAGACACCUCUUACUUUAUGUUUAAGUGGCUCAAUUGAUUGAAUAAACAUUUGUUGGUACUUGGUAGUUCAUUGAUUGAUUUACCAUCCAUAAUUUCGAACAAUGUUCCACAAUUAAUUUCAACUUUAUUUACAACAAACUCCUCUUGCUGUAACUAGAGAGCUGACCGGCAGUAGGCCACUACAAAAUAAAGUCUGGGUUUAUUUGAUUUAAUUUUACUUGAAAAUUGGAUUAGUUCCCCAAUUUUUUCUUUGUCCCGAUUUUGAUCCUUUGUGAAAUCUUACCUUGUAGGGUGAAAAAGAUAUCCAGUGGUUACGACAAGGUAAUGGUCACGGUCGAGGAUGGGAGGAACUUUGUUGCUGAUGCUGCUAUCAUAACUGUUCCUGUUGGAAUCCUAAAAGCCAAUUUAAUUGAAUUUGAACCAAAACUUCCUGAUUGGAAGGUUUCAGCAAUUUCCGAUCUUGGUGUGGGCAAUGAAAAUAAGAUUGCCCUAAGAUUUGAUAAAGUAUUUUGGCCUAAUGUAGAACUCCUGGGCACUGUCGCUCCAACCUCUUAUGCCUGUGGCUAUUUUCUCAAUCUUCACAAAGCAACAGGCCAUCCUGUUCUUGUCUAU